ACAAGGGUGAGGUUCCCGGAGUCUACGACGACUGGGAGGAGUGUCGGAGACAGGUUCACCGUUUCAGCGGUAACAGUUACAAAGGGUACACCACUAGGGCAGAGGCGGAAGCUAGAUACGCGCGCUAUCUAGCGGGAGAGAUGGAGCGGAGGAGGAACCGGAUGAAGAUUAGUUUCAUCGUGAUGAUGCUUAUCGUGACCGCAACCCUCUUCUAUGUGAUGGUAGUUUAGAUAUCGACUUGUAAUGUGAAGACAAACUCG
rnacentral:lncRNA from 1 species